GGAUGUGAGGGCCAUCUGCCUGCGAUGUCUGUCACCCACUUGAUCGCCAGGGUUGAUUCAGCUGAUCUGGCUGGCUGGGCGGGUGUCCCCUCCCUCCCUCCAUCACCACCCCAUGUGCGCCCCUCCCGGAGCUGCGCCCUCAGUCAAGCAGGAAGACAGACGGUCUUCGGUGGAGGGUAUAGGAGUAGCCGCGCUCCCCUGUUAGAACCUCCAGACAAGCUCUCAAGGUCCAUAUGUAGGAGAACGUGGGGCAGUCAGGCUUCCAAGACUCCAGACACUGCCACUGCUUUGUGGCAGUCUGCCUUUGUCU
rfam:Erinaceus europaeus unplaced genomic scaffold scaffold00849, whole genome shotgun sequence